UUUAUACUUUGUGAUCAUAGAGGCUCUGGAGAAACAGGAAUUUCCCUCCUCUCCUUCCUCAACCCGAGUUGUUGAACUUCAUGUCCUUCUCCUCAGCAUUUCAGUUUUGGAUUGGCCCUGUGCUGGCUGACUAAGCAAGUCAAAAGGUGUUUAUUGCUGCUCGCUGGAAAUACUUUGUGUGGAAGGUACAUAUUUGAAAAGCAAGGAGUAAAACUACCUCAGAGCACAAACUAUGAAUAAGGCCAGAUUCUGACUCAUUUUCUAAUGUUGAAAAGCCUUUACUCUUUGGACUUCAAUAGGACUUCUUCCUUGAGUAAGCAUUACUCAUGGUGAUUAAAGGCUCCAUUUUCCUCCCUUGUGUUAUGUAAUUAAACUAUGCAAAUAAUUCAGCUAUCCAAGACAAUGCAGAUUGUGAAUGGAAUAGUCAAUUGUACAUUUCACAACUUUAGUACCUUCAGAAGACAUAGCUUAUUUGCUGAAGAAAUAAAUGGAACAAUUUGAAAUAAUGAAUACAUUUAGGACUCUAGGACUCUGACAAUUUCUUUGUGAACAUUAAUGGAUAAUUGGUUAUGAAUAAGUUAUUUUCCUAUUUCCAGGACAGCCCUUCAUCCCUUCUUCAAUCUCUGUAGCUUGUGGGCCUUGCAUAAAGGGGUUAUAAGCUACCUGCUGCAGAGUCCUUCCCUCAGUAAAUCAAAGCUUUGCUCUUCCCUGCUCCCUUUUCACAGACAGAUGAUUCCAGCCUCUUUUACUUAAAUGCUUGUCCAUAGCACUUUGAGCACUGUUUACACCCUCCUGAGGGGUUGCUUUCCUUCAGUCAGUGACAGUCACGUGUGCCAGCUGGGCACUGGGUAUCCUGCUCAUUACUGGCUGCUCAGAGUUGUGUUAACCAGCCAGGACUAGAAGAGAAGAAUUAAAAUUUACUGAAUCCUGUUCCUGUUUCCUGCAAUAUUUUCUCCAAGCAAAUGAUUGUCUGAUAGCAGCUCAAUAAAGUGCAUGAUUUUGGUUUUUGUGGUAAUCUGAUGUAGUAACUGGGGGUGGGAGAUAGAAAGCAUAAAGGUACAAAUAUGCUUUUUCUUUAAAUACUUCUUUGAGAAAACUUGUGUGGUCAGUAGAGCUUUGAAAUGACUCAGAAAGAGCAGGGAAGUUGAUAGAAGGAUUCAUAUUGACUUUACUGGGAUUUGGAUCAGACCUGCCAAUGUGAAUCAAGAAUUUAUGGGAGCCUGAGUAGCAGUGUGCAGGAAUUUAGUGCAGAUCCUUUCAGAUUUCUGGGUUAAUCAACUGGGCAGUUCAUUGUCUUGAGUAAUGCUCAGGGCUGGACAGAAGUUGUGAGUUUCUCACACAUCUUCCUUGGCUGCCAGGCAGACUUCCACCCCGUCCUCAAGGCCUUUCCUCUUGGGCAGCACCAAAUUCCCUGAGGGCCAGGUAGCCCCACAGCCCUGCUGCCAGCUCCCCACCUCAGUGCAACUUAAAAACGUGGAAAGAGAUGGCCCCUAAUAUUUCAUUUUAGAAGCUGAAGCUACUGUGACACAGGACCCACUGAAGUCGCACUGAUCUCUUUCCAAAUGUGUUUGAUGUGCUUGUUCCAGACCCUGGCUGAUGAACUGCUUCCAUAUUCCUGGAAUUUGAGGGCAGAGCUGUUCGUUUAGCGAUGACUCAGUGUUUUGCUAAGCAGAAUUCUGUGUUGCUCCUCCACUUCCUGCUGAAGAGCAAAUAAAGAGGAAUUUUCUCACAGACUGCAUUCAAACACAAACAGUUUGUGAGCCAGAAGAGUUUAAUACCUGAGGAAUUCUAAUCUGCAUAUUUGCACUUUGAAUCAGCAGCAGACUUUGCUGGCCAGAGUCAACUUGUCAGAAGCAGGAAUGUUUAUUGGUUUUGGCUGCUAAGCCUGUGGAUAUCUGGAAGGGCAG